rnacentral:rRNA from 1 species
CCUACGGGUGGCAGCAGUGAGGAAUUUUGCGCAAUGGCCGCAAGGCUGACGCAGCAACGCCGCGUGGGUGAUGAAGGCCUUCGGGUCGUAAAGCCCUGUCAGGUGGGAAGAAAGGCUUUAGGUUGAAUAGGCUUGAAGUUUGACGGUACCACCAGAGGAAGCACCGGCUAACUCCGUGCCAGCAGCCGCGGUAAUACGGAGGGUGCGAGCGUUAUUCGGAAUUACUGGGCGUAAAGCGCGUGCAGGCGGGAAGGCAAGUCUGAUGUGAAAGCCCGGGGCUUAACCUCGGAAGUGCAUUGGAAACUGUUUUUCUUGAGUACUGGAGAGGAAGGGGGAAUUCCCGGUGUAGAGGUGAAAUUCGUAGAGAUCGGGAGGAAUACCAGUGGCGAAGGCGCCCUUCUGGACGGUUACUGACGCUGAGACGCGAAAGCGUGGGGAGCAAACAGGAUUAGAUACCCUAGUAGUC